GGAAAGGUUCCAUUGUCCUGCUUC
rnacentral:siRNA from 1 species